UGGGGAAUAUUGGACAAUGGGCGAAAGCCUGAUCCAGCCAUGCCGCGUGUGUGAAGAAGGUCUUCGGAUUGUAAAGCACUUUAAGUUGGGAGGAAGGGCAGUAAGCGAAUACCUUGCUGUUUUGACGUUACCGACAGAAUAAGCACCGGCUAACUCUGUGCCAGCAGCCGCGGUAAUACAGAGGGUGCAAGCGUUAAUCGGAAUUACUGGGCGUAAAGCGCGCGUAGGUGGUUCGUUAAGUUGAAUGUGAAAGCCCCGGGCUCAACCUGGGAACUGCAUCCAAAACUGGCGAGCUAGAGUAGGGCAGAGGGUGGUGGAAGUUCCUGUGUAGCGGUGAAAUGCGUAGAUAUAGGAAGGAACACCAGUGGCGAAGGCAGCCAUCUGGCCUAACACUGACGCUGAGGUACGAAAGCAUGGGGAGCAAACAGG
rnacentral:rRNA from 1 species